rnacentral:rRNA from 1 species
UACGUAGGGGGCAAGCGUUGUCCGGAAUUAUUGGGCGUAAAGAGCGCGUAGGCGGUCCGAUAAGUCGGCUGUGAAAGUCAUGGGCUCAACCCAUGAAAGCCGGCCGAUACUGUCGGACUAGAGUUCGGAAGAGGCAAGUGGAAUUCCCGGUGUAGCGGUGAAAUGCGCAGAUAUCGGGAGGAACACCAAUUGCGAAGGCGACUUCCUGGCCUGUUCUUGACGCUGAGGCACGAAAGUGUGGGGAUCAAACAGG